rnacentral:rRNA from 1 species
GAUGAACGCUGGCGGCGUGCUUAACACAUGCAAGUCGAACGGAAAGGCCCUGCCUUUCUGGGGUGCUCGAGUGGCGAACGGGUGAGUAACACGUGAGUGAUCUGCCCUUGACUUUGGGAUAACCUUGGGAAACUGGGGCUAAUACCGGAUAGGAGCUCCUGUUGCAUGGUGGGGGUGGGAAAGUUUCGGCGGUGGGUGAUGUCCUCGCGGCUUAUCAUCUUGUUGGUGGGGUAGUGGCUUACCGAGGCUGUGAGGGGUAGCCGGCCUGAGAGGGUUACCGGCCACAUUGGCACUGAGAUAGGGCACAGACUCCUAGGGGAGGCAGCAGUGGAAAAUAGUGCACAGUGGGCGGGCGUGUGAUGCAGCAACGCCGCGUGCGGGGUGGCGGCCUUCGGGUUGUACACCGCUUUCGCCUGUGACGAAGCGUGAGUGACGGUAAUGGGUAAAGAAGCACCGGCUAACUACGUG